rnacentral:lncRNA from 1 species
AUUACCGUUUGUCGAGUUUUGACAUAUGCAUACCAUUGUGUAAAUGCUACCACAAUAAAAAUGUAGAAAACGUCCUAUUGGUUUGAAAAUGCUCCCUUGGGCUAUUUGCUUUCAGACUCCUUCCUCCACUCCUAUACCCUGGCAACCACAGACAUAUUUCUCUGCCUAUAGUUGUGCCUUUUCCAGAAACCCACUGACAUGAAAUCAUAUAAUACAUAACAUACAAUCAUAUAAUACAUAUGUAUCACGAGUUUUGUGGUAAGGUGCCAAGAGAGAAGUGGACCGGUUGCUCUGCAUGCAGACUCACCUCAGCCACAGACACUGAGAAAAUCCCAUAGUCAGGCUGUAAAGACUGAGCCUUUCUUCGUGUUCCAACUGAAUUCCAAGGGAGUUAGGGGAAAUAGGUCUGGUGAAUAGGAGUGUGACAAGAGCAGUAGUCCUGAAUUUUUAAAUUCCUAGCAGUAUUUCACUAAAUAUCUUCAUGAUGGAGAAUUCUGUUGUGAAAUCAAAUGUCCUCACAAAAAGUCAGCCUUCCUUUGUACCUUAAGGUGAUUUCUCUGCCAGCAUAGCAAAGACAAAAAUGGCUUUGCAAGCAACUGUAUUUGGUGUAAUUGGAAUGCAUGUACCCUUUAACUUAACCAGAAUUUUCUUUUGAAAGUAUUUUCACAUUAAAAAAAAUAAGUCAACAUAUGGUCAUAAAAGUGAUCAAAUAUAGCUGUGCUCUUAAAUUCAUUUUCUAAAUCACUGUAUUCUACUUUCCGGGAGAAAUAUCAGUGGGCAAGUGGCGUCAACAUUGGGACCUAUAGAUCAAGAUUCCCCAAGCUGGAUGAACCUGUGGUUGACCAGCAGCCCAGUGUUGAGCAACCUCAACAAGAGGAACCGCCAGCUGAGAUUCAGAAUAUCACACCUGAAAAGGAGGAAGUAAAUGGAGAGGAUCCAGUGAAUCACAAUGAAGAGAAGGAGAAGGAUGCCUCUGGAGGUAAAGUGUAA